rnacentral:rRNA from 1 species
UACGUAGGGGGCAAGCGUUGUUCGGAUUUACUGGGCGUAAAGGGCGCGUAGGCGGCAAUUCAAGUCAGCUGUGAAAUCUCCGGGCUUAACUCGGAACGGUCAGCUGAUACUGCUUUGCUAGAGUGCAGAAAGGGCAAUCGGAAUACUUGGUGUAGCGGUGAAAUGCGUAGAUAUCAAGAGGAACACCUGAGGCGAAGGCGGGUUGCUAGGCUGACACUGACGCUGAGUGCGCGAAAGCGUGGGGAUCAAACAGG